rnacentral:rRNA from 1 species
UCUGGCUCAGGACGACGCUGGCGGCGUGCUUAACACAUGCAAGUCGAACGGAACACCCUUGACAGAGGUUCGGCCAAUUGAUAGGGCUGUUUAGUGGCGGACUGGUGAGUAACGCGUGAGGAACCUGCCUUUCAGAGGGGGACAACAGCUGGAAACGGCUGCUAAUACCGCAUGACGCAUAACUGGGACAUCCCGGAUAUGCCAAAGAUUUAUCGCUGAAAGAUGGCCUCGCGUCUGAUUAGCUAGUUGGUGGGGUAACGGCCUACCAAGGCGACGAUCAGUAGCCGGACUGAGAGGUUGACCGGCCACAUUGGGACUGAGAUACGGCCCAGACUCCUACGGGAGGCAGCAGUGGGGAAUAUUGGGCAAAUGGACGCAAGUCUGACCCAGCAACGCCGCGUGAAGGAAGAAGGCUUUCGGGUUGUAAACUUCUUUUAAGGGGGAAGAGCAGAAGACGGUACCCCUUGAAUAAGCCACGGCUAACUACGUGCCAGCCGCGGC